GUCAUGUGAGCCCCACAUUUCUUGCAGUCCAGUGGAAAGACAGCUGCAUGAAUAUAUACUAGAGUGAAUAUAGAUACAAUAAAUUAUACCCAAGUGUAAUACAAUUAACAACUUUUAUGCUAGUGGUAUAAACCAGAAGAGGGAUUUUGUCAAUCGAUAUUAAUUUGGGAGGUUAAGGAGGGUUUUACUGAGAAGAUAAGUUGAAAUGCAAGGAUGUAUACACAUUUUUCCAGGCAGAAAAUGGGAAAGGCAUUAUGGAAGGAGGCAAGCAAAGGCAAGGCAGUGGAUGGACGUGGGAAACUGCCACACACCAUCUCUUGAGGAUACGAAAGGAGACAAGAUUUUAAAAAAAUGUUGCUAAAAAUACGUGCAGGUUUUUAAAAAAGCUGAUUUCAUCUCUGAUUAGUGGCCAAGGCAACAGUCAGUACAGAUUAAAAAGAAGUUGCAUGCAAUGAGAAGGAGAGGGGUAAGUACAGGAAGCACGUGAGGAAAAAUAAAAAAAGCUUUUUAAAAGGAGACCUUCAGAAAGUGAUUUAUCUGAGGUUGGAGGGUUGUUGGAAGCAGUUAAAGUAUUACCCUUUAGCCAGCUAGAGAAUAAGAGAGCACAGAAAAGGCAUAUCCAUAUUACGUAUUUAUUUAUUUAUUCCACAUGAUUUAACAUUAAAUGGAAAAAAUCUAGAUAAGACAGUUAAAAAAAGUAGGCAUACACCCUGGCCCCACACACACUCCUCCACUACCAACAUUCUGCCCCAGAGUGGUAUGUUUAUCAAACUAAUGAACCUACGUUGAUGCGUUAUUAUCAC
rnacentral:lncRNA from 1 species